AUCUUACUGUUGUUGUUUUUUUUACUUAUUUUAACUUUUAUUUCUGGUCUGUCUAUUACUUUUAUGUUUUUGGCAGGUUGAGCUAUAGUUUAUUUUUGCAUGAAAACCGAUGCAAAGAAUGCGUUAAGCAGUCUGCUUUCUCUUUUUUUAUUAUCUUUGCCUU